CCAGGAUCAUUUGGACCAGAGGGGCCUAGAGGUUUUUCAGGAAUAGACGGCAUUCCUGGACCACAAGGAGAGAAGGGUCUAGAGGGUCGAAGCAUGGUACUACCUGGACCCACAGGUCAAAAGGGGGAGAAAGGACCACCUGGUGUACCAGGACAAAAAGGCGUAAAGUUAUUUGUAACAGGACCAAAGGAGCCUAAGGUAACAUGCCCCUCACUUAAAAGUCAUGCAU
rnacentral:lncRNA from 1 species